GAUGAACGCUAGCUACAGGCUUAACACAUGCAAGUCGAGGGGCAGCGCAGUGUAGCAAUACAUGGGCGGCGACCGGCGCACGGGUGCGUAACGCGUAUCCAACCUUCCCGUUACUCAGGGAUAGCCUUCCGAAAGGGAGAUUAAUACCUGAUGGUGUUCAAAUUCCGCAUGUUAUUUGAACUAAAGAUUUAUCGGUAACGGAUGGGGAUGCGUGACAUUAGGUAGAUGGCGGGGUAACGGCCCACCAUGCCUACGAUGUCUAGGGGUUCUGAGAGGAAGGUCCCCCACACUGGAACUGAGACACGGUCCAGACUCCUACGGGAGGCAGCAGUGAGGAAUAUUGGUCAAUGGGCGAGAGCCUGAACCAGCCAAGUAGCGUGAAGGAAGACUGCCCUAUGGGUUGUAAACUUCUUUUGUUCGGGAAUAAAGUGCAGUACGCGUACUGUUUUGUAUGUACCGUUCGAAUAAGCAUCGGCUAAUUCCGUG
rnacentral:rRNA from 1 species